rnacentral:rRNA from 1 species
GUCCUCAUGAUUUUAUUUGAGGUUUGGCCUGCCCGGUGAUAUUUAUUUAACGGCCGCGGUAUAUUGACCGUGCAAAGGUAGCAUAAUCAUUAGUCUCUUAAUAGGGGGCUGGAAUGAAAGGUUUAACGAAAAAUUAACUGUCUCAAUUAUAGUUUUGAAUUUAACUUUUAAGUUAAAAGGCUUAAAUUUUGUUGGAGGACGAGAAGACCCUAUAGAGCUUUACACUUUAUUUUGGAUGAUUUUAUUUAGUUAGAUAAUUUAAUUUUAUUUAAAUGCGUGUUUUGUUGGGGUGACAAGAAAUAUAUGAUUAACUUUUAUUAUUUUUUAUUCAUUAAUUUAUGUUUAUUGGAUCCAAAAUUUUUGAUCAUUAGAUUAAGUUACCUUAGGGAUAACAGCGUAAUCUUCCUUCGGAGUUCAAAUUUACAGGGAGGCUUGCGACCUCGAUGUUGGAUUAAGAUAAUAAUUAGGUGCAGUAGCUUAAUUAAUAGGUCUGUUCGACCUUUAAAUUCUU